rnacentral:rRNA from 1 species
GAUGAACGCUGGCGGCGUGCCUAAUACAUGCAAGUCGAACGCAUAGCGAAAGGUGCUUGCACCUUUCAAGUGAGUGGCGAACGGGUGAGUAGCACGUGGACAACCUGCCUCAAGGCUGGGGAUAACAUUUGGAAACAGAUGCUAAUACCGAAUAAAACCUAGUGUCGCAUGACACAAAGUUAAAAGGCGCUUCGGCGUCACCUAGAGAUGGAUCCGCGGUGCAUUAGUUAGUUGGUGGGGUAAAGGCCUACCAAGACAAUGAUGCAUAGCCGAGUUGAGAGACUGAUCGGCCACAUUGGGACUGAGACACGGCCCAAACUCCUACGGGAGGCUGCAGUAGGGAAUCUUCCACAAUGGGCGAAAGCCUGAUGGAGCAACGCCGCGUGUGUGAUGAAGGCUUUCGGGUCGUAAAGCACUGUUGUAUGGGAAGAACAGCUAGAAUAGGAAAUGAUUUUAGUUUGACGGUACCAUACCAGAAAGGGACGGCUAAAUACGUG